rnacentral:misc_RNA from 1 species
GAUGAAGAACGCAGCGAAAUGCGAUACGUAAUGUGAAUUGCAGAAUUCAGUGAAUCAUCGAGUCUUUGAACGCACAUUGCGCCCCCUGGUAUUCCGGGGGGCAUGCCUGUCCGGGCGUCAUUGCUGCCCUCAAGCCCGGCUUGUGUGUUGGGUCUCGUCCCCCUUCCCGGGGGGAUGGGCCCGAAAGGCAGCGGCGGCACCGCGUCCGGUCCUCGAGCGUAUGGGGCUUUGUCACCCGCUCUGUAGGCCCGGCCGGCGCUUGCCGAUCAACCAAAACUUUUUUCCAGGUUGACCUCGGAUCAGGUAGGGAUACCCGCUGAACUUAAGCAUAUCAAUAAGCGGAGGA